rnacentral:rRNA from 1 species
CCCUUAGAUGUCCGGGGCCGCACGCGCGCUACACUGAAGGAAUCAGCGUGGCUUUCUCCCCGGUCCGAAAGGACCGGGAAACCCGUUGAAUCUCCUUCGUGAUAGGGAUUGGGGCUUGAAAUUGUUCCCCAUGAACGAGGAAUUCCCAGUAAGCGCGAGUCAUAAGCUCGCGUUGAUUACGUCCCUGCCCUUUGUACACACCGCCCGUCGCUACUACCGAUUGAACGGUUUAGUGAGGGCCUCGGAUUGGUCUCGGCCCGCUCUUCACCGGGCGGCGCCGUUGGUCGAGAAGACGCUCGAACUUGAUCGUUUAGAGGAAGUAAAAGUCGUAACA